UACAGAGGUCUCAAGCGUUGUUCGGAUUCAUUGGGCGUAAAGGGUGCGUAGGCGGCGCGGUAAGUCGGGUGUGAAAUUUCGGAGCUUAACUCCGAAACUGCAUUCGAUACUGCCAUGCUUGAGGACUGGAGAGGAGACUGGAAUUUACGGUGUAGCGGUGAAAUGCGUAGAUAUCGUAAGGAAGACCAGUGGCGAAGGCGGGUCUCUGGACAGUUCCUGACGCUGAGGCACGAAGGCCAGGGGAGCAAACGGG
rnacentral:rRNA from 1 species